rnacentral:antisense_RNA from 1 species
UGUAGUUGAAUUUUGGGUGUGCAGAAUAGGUUGGGGAACAAUUGGUCCAUUUUAUGGAAUAAAGAGUGACAACAAUCGAAUAGGAUAAAAAUUAGAAUUAUUUUUGGGAAUAGUGAGAUAAGAUUUGGUGCGUCCGAGUGGACUCGAACCACCGACCCCCACCA